AGAGUUUGAUCAUGGCUCAGAUUGAACGCUGGCGGCAGGCCUAACACAUGCAAGUCGAGCGGAUGAGGGGUGCUUGCACCCCGAUUCAGCGGCGGACGGGUGAGUAAUGCCUAGGAAUCUGCCCGAUAGUGGGGGACAACGUUUCGAAAGGAACGCUAAUACCGCAUACGUCCUACGGGAGAAAGUGGGGGCUCUUCGGACCUCACGCUAUCGGAUGAGCCUAGGUCGGAUUAGCUAGUUGGUGGGGUAAAGGCCCACCAAGGCGACGAUCCGUAACUGGUCUGAGAGGAUGAUCAGUCACACUGGAACUGAGACACGGUCCAGACUCCUACGGGAGGCAGCAGUGGGGAAUAUUGGACAAUGGGCGAAAGCCUGAUCCAGCCAUGCCGCGUGUGUGAAGAAGGUCUUCGGAUUGUAAAGCACUUUAAGUCGGGAGGAAGGGCUGUAGGUUAAUACCCUGCGGUUUUGACGUUACCGACAGAAUAAGCACCGGCUAACUUCGUGCCAGCAGCCGCGGUAAUACGAAGGGUGCAAGCGUUAAUCGGAAUUACUGGGCGUAAAGCGCGCGUAGGUGGUUUGGUAAGUUGGAUGUGAAAGCCCCGGGCUCAACCUGGGAACUGCAUCCAAAACUGCCUGACUAGAGUACGGUAGAGGGUGGUGGAAUUUCCUGUGUAGCGGUGAAAUGCGUAGAUAUAGGAAGGAACACCAGUGGCGAAGGCGACCACCUGGACUGAUACUGACACUGAGGUGCGAAAGCGUGGGGAGCAAACAGGAUUAGAUACCCUGGUAGUCCACGCCGUAAACGAUGUCGACUAGCCGUUGGGCUCCUUGAGAGCUUAGUGGCGCAGCUAACGCAUUAAGUCGACCGCCUGGGGAGUACGGCCGCAAGGUUAAAACUCAAAUGAAUUGACGG
rnacentral:rRNA from 1 species